CCUACGGGUGGCUGCAGUAGGGAAUCUUUCACAAUGGGCGAAAGCCUGAUGGAGCAACGCCGCGUGCAGGAUGAAGGCCUUCGGGUUGUAAACUGCUUUUAUAAGCGAGAAAUAUGAUGGUAACUUAUGAAUAAGGAUCGGCUAACUACGUGCCAGCAGCCGCGGUCAUACGUAGGAGCCGAGCAUUAUCCGGAGUGAUUGGGUGUAAAGAGUUGCGUAGGUGGCAUAAUAAGUAGCUAGUGAAAUCGGGUGGCUCAACCAUUCAGACUAUUAGCUAAACUGUUGAGCUCGAGACCGUUAGGGGUAACUGGAAUUUCUAGUGUAGGAGUGAAAUGCGUAGAUAUUAGAAGGAACACCAAUAGCGUAGGCAGGUUACUGGGACGGUUCUGACACUAAGGCACGAAAGCGUAGGGAGCAAACGGGAUUAGAUACCCUAGUAGUC
rnacentral:rRNA from 1 species